UGAGUGUUCGUUUUUGUGGCAGAGUUUGUAUGCAUGAUUUUAUUAACUCUAGUGUACAUACUAGGUUAUUGAUUUAUAAUUUCGAACCUGUAAGUCUUACUAAUUUGUUAUAAAAAGAAAUAGUAUAAAGCUAUGCCACGAAGGAAGUCAAUAAAGGAAGCUGAAGGAAGACAAAGUUGACUACAGACGAAAUAGACGAACGAUUCAGCAGAGGCAAGAUUGCCAAGAUGGCACUUUUCAUUAGAUAUAUAAUUUGGGUUUGAUCUCUAACAAAUUUUUGUAAUAUUAUAGUUAUAGCUAGGCUAUAUCACGUGUUUAAACUAAAGAUGAUUAAAGUGUAAUUGAGAACCAAGUGAAGUCGAUUACAUUAUUAUUUUUAAUCUAGCGCAUUAUUAGCGGUGUAAUUCCAAUGUUCUGCUAUUGACAACCCUGCAUGCGCUCAGCUGAUCAAAGACUGUAAACAGAUUCGUGUGUGUUUUCAGAAUAUCGUCUACUUUUGUUUGUUUUCUAAUCCAGAAAGCUUGUUUCCUAUCUCUUCGAGUUAUCCCCAACAUUACCCUCUCCAUUCCUCUUUGGGAACAAGGACACACGGUCAAUCUGAUUGAAGAAGGUUUUUUUCUAGACUGCCUGGAUAAACCCACGGGGCCUCACUAAUUACUGGUGGAGAAUAAGGAGUGUGUACAACGAGGGACAGUGCAUACAAGAGACAAGGUCGGGUCCAUCUCCUAAACAUGGAGCAAACAAGUCUCGGGCGUCAGUCAGGAGAUGGAGCACGGCCCGCCACAAGUCUGGCACCGGCGUCCCUACAUCUGCGCACUUCGUAGAGCUAGGCACAUCAGUUUCUCCCUCUUCAGAAGAUGACGCAGACUGCGGAGGCGUGUGGUUCGGCACAGGUGGGGGCCGGACCGUUUCAGCUCCUCCUUGAGGCGUAGGCUAUCAGGAUCUGUUCUGUCUUGGUGUUAAAAGGUCCUGCCACUACUGAAGGGAGAACCAAACCAGCGUGUCCUAACAACGAGCUACUGAAGGGAGAACCAAACCAAUGUCCUAACAAUCUCCAACCCGCGGCAGGAAACUGGCUCUUCAUGCACUGGAAGACCCGAAGUGUCUCGCUGCACCUUCCAUGGAGGAAUUGGACCCUGCUUCGCACCAACUCGGACCUGGCAGUCCUUUCCAGGGAGGGAGGACACUGCCUUGCUUCAUCUAACCUAACCAUUACAUGUUGCCAAUCACUCUUGUAAUGUUAUUAUUCAUUAUGUUCUGUGAUGGACCCACAUGACUGGUGUUAGUACUACUAAUAAAUCAUAAUUAAGAAAA
rnacentral:misc_RNA from 1 species